AGAUUGAUGCUGUUUAUGCUGCCAUCAAGGCAAUGGGGCAUACCGAUGUCGAAGUGCGAAUCUCCGAGACGGGUUGGCCUUCGAAGGGGGAUCCGAAUGAGGCCGGAGCCACGCCGGAGAAUGCAGGGUUGUACAAUGGGAAUUUGAUGAGGAAACUUGAAGAGAGGAAAGGAACUCCGGCUAAGCCUUCUGUUCCAAUAGACAUUUAUGUUUUUGCACUUUUUAAUGAGGAUUUGAAGCCUGGCCCUGCAUCAGAAAGGAAUUAUGGGCUCUAUUAUCCUGAUGGCACACCAGUUUAUGAUAUUGGCUUCAAGGGUUAUCUCCCUGAGCUAACCUUUACUGCCGAC
rnacentral:lncRNA from 1 species